CACUUUUAUUUCCUUAUUUUUCCUAAUUUUCUAUAUUCAUUCCUAAUAUCUCCCCAAAUGCAUGUAAAAUCUAAUAAUUUAUCGACUAAUUACUUAAGUUAAUAAAUUUGGUAAUCACAUUUAUCAAAUGAUUAACUAAAAAGAGUAUUAACCAUUCAACAUCCAAAAAUAGGAAGGAUAUUAAAUGAGUUAAUUUUUAUUUUUUCAUUAUUUUUGUAUGGCGUGGCUGACUUAUUCAAUAAAAGCAGGCAAAAUUGGUCACCAAUGAAUCUAACAAUUUUGAAGCAUUUAAAUAUAUCUCAUUUUUUAAAUUUAGACAUUUAAUUGAACAAAACAAUUUAAAUACCAAAAUAGCAAAAAAUUAAAAAGUUGGAUACCAUUUAUAUAGUCUUACCAUUUCAUGACUAUAAGAUUUCAAGUUGGUGUUUCGAAAGAGCUAAUUAAUAUUCACAAAAAAAAAAAAGAGCUAAUUAAUAAAAAUAAUAAAAUAACAAUACUUUAAUUUGUAAAAAAAAAAAAAAGAAGAAGAGCAAACCCCCUUAUUAUCACCUUAAUUGCUCUCUAGCACCUUAGGACCAACUAUCUAUAAAAUCUAUAUAAACAAAACGUAUGAUGUUUUUUAAAAUAAACAUUAAUCGUAUAUAAUUAUGGGGUUUACCAUUUUUAAAACUUGUUAUUUGUUUAUUUAUGUUUUUUGUUCAUAAAUGCAAAUCGGCCCAUAACUGAAUACCAAUACUAAUCAAAUUGGGCUCGUGGUAGUAACACGGGCCUUUCUACCGGGUCCGUUUUCACUCGAAUAACCGCGGGUUCCUAUUAACAAGCACACUCGCUUUCCCUCUUCCAUUUUCAAAUUCUCACCCAACCUGAACCAAUUCUAAGCUUAAAGAAAAAACAAUGGCGGGAUCUCUAGCAUUAGUACUAAGCGAACCUCAAGAGAAAUCUGUUUCGAACAUCAAAGAAGAAUGGCAAAAAGUCUCAUACUCUCGGUUUAUCACCUAUCCUUCUCUCCCUUCCACGCAUCCCUCGCUCAUCCCUUUCUCUAACAGUUGCCGAUACAAAGGGACUCGCGGCACUUGGCUUUCCUCUCACUCUCCAACCGCAUCUCUGCAAAUCCGUAACUACAAAUCCAUCUCUCACGCUGUCCUCACCGUCUGUUUGCACGGCAAUAUCCUUGAAGAGCACUAUGUUUCAAAGUUGCACUUCACAUGGCCACUAGUGUCAUGUCUAUCUGGAUAUCCUCCUAGAGGUAGCAGAUCUUUGUUUGUCAGCUAUAAAGACUCUCUUGGCCAGAUCCAGAAGUUUGCGUUGCGAUUUUCUGUGAUUUCUGAAGCGGAGACAUUUAUAAAUGCUUUGAAGGAUAUCUUGAAGGAUUCCACUGAAACUGAACCUCUGAAUAGUGACAUUCGAUCUGAAAUUUCUUUGGAAUCUAAGUUCAUGUCUGCUGACGGAAUUCCAUCUAGAGCUUGUGAGGAGGAAUCAAGUGUCAUGACUCCCGUUCAGACUUCUUCUUUCGAAACCCAAUUCCCAUUGAGUUUGAACUAUGAAGUUGAGCAAGACUCACAAACCGAGAAAACAUUACCAAGUCGCAACCAUGAAGACAUUUCUUCUGCUUUGCCUCCUAGCUUUGCUUCAUUUCUGAGCAACUGCUGUUCUGAGGUCCAGCAAGUUGCAGCCCAGCCGACUUCAUUUGAGGAUGUCGAUCUCAAAUCUCAAAUUGCGAGAUACAUGGAAGAUUCCUCUUUCCAAGAGAUGUUGAUUAAAGUGGAGAAAGUUAUUAGUGAAAUUGGAGAUGAUCUGUUGCUGUGAUUCUACUCUCCUGCUUUUGUACGUAAAAGGUGACGAAUUGCAGGCCAGCAGGCAGCCAUGGAAGAAACAAAAAUGUUGUAUGCCAUGGAUAAUGACUUUCUUAAUGGGCGGUUCCCACAAGAAAAAUUCUUUAAAUAUUCUAGACCAGUAAACCGGAACGUUGAAGUCACAAUCAUCUCUAUUCUAUAUGUCCAGGCUAAAAUUCCAUCAAAUCCUACACAGAACUUAAUUAUUUCAUUCCUUAUCAAAGCAAAAUCCCAUUUUCUACGACCACAUCUAUGGCAUCUCAUAAUCUCCUUCUCUUUCUCUUUCCUUUACUGGCGAGUCUAACUGCACCAGUUUUCGCCUCCAAUUCUAUGUACCCUUUUAACUGCUCUGAUACCGCAAAUGGCUGCUUAGCUUUCCUGUACCAUAACAACCAAGGCCUUCAGCAAGAACAAAUUGCUGCUUUUUAUAACGUAAGCUUAACCGAAAUCAGCCCAAUUCCCCGAGGAGACAGUCAAGACUAUAUUAUAUCCGUCAUUGCUGCUUGCAAAAACAUCAACGGGACCACUGCAUACUUCUAUGAUGCACCCUAUACUGUUCAACAAAACGACACUUUUGUGACCGUUUCAGAACAGAUUUAUAGCGGGCAAGCUUGGGGAGUCGGAGAUGAAGAAAGUAAAUUCAUUACAGGAAAUGUAGUGUCAAUGCAUCUUUUGUCUGGGUGUGUAGCUAGUGACUCCCAAUUUGUGGUAACAUACACUGUUCAGCAAAAUGACACAAUAUCAGACAUUGCCAACAGACUAUCUUCCACUGUGAGUGGUAUUCAGAGCAUGAACAGCCUGCUGAUUACAGACCCAAACAUGCUGGUUGCCGGUUGGGUGUUGUUUGUGCCUGUGCAGCUAACUCUUGAUGUGGCUCCCAGCCCUGCUCCAUCCAUAAAUUAGUAAAAUCAUACGAAGACUCGAUCGGUGAAGAUGGUUUGCCGUGGCAUGUUAUAUGGGUACUUGGUAAACGUGGAAGACAACAAGAAUCUUUAGAGAUGCAUGUUUCUAUAUUCUCAUGUACUGGGAAAUUUAAAUAGUUUAUUAACAGAGUAGUGGACAAUAAAGAGUGAAUUUUGCACUUACCUUUCAUUUGGAGAAACCCUAGGAAAAAUCGAACUGAUCAUGUGAUCUCUAUUUUUGGAAAAAGAUCUAUCAGAUUCAUUUAUAAGUAAUGUCUACUUCUUCACCCUGGAGAAAUCGAAUGUUACUUUUCAUGUUAUUA